rnacentral:rRNA from 1 species
UACGUAGGGGGCAAGCGUUGUCCGGAAUCAUUGGGCGUAAAGCGCGUGUAGGCGGUCCGGUAAGUCUGCUGUGAAAGUCCAGGGCUCAACCCUGGGAUGCCGGUGGAUACUGUCGAGCUCGAGUCCGGAAGAGGCGAGUGGAAUUCCGUGGUGUAGCGGUGAAAUGCGCAGAUAUCAGGAGGAACACCAAUGGCGAAGGCAGCUCGCUGGGACGUGACUGACGCUGAGACGCGAAAGCGUGGGGAGCAAACAGG